GUCUUCCACAUUCCCACUAGGAUGGCCCAUUAAGUCCUAUUUAAAGCAUCCCACUGCUUUCCUAAUCCAAAAUUGCAAAAUCCACAUUCCUCCAAAUAAAAGCAUGGUCAAGCCUAUCACAACAAGAACACAGUCCCUGAUACCAACUUCUGCCUUAGUGUUUCAUUGCUGAGACACAAUGGCCAAGGCAACUCUUAUAAAGGAAAACAUCUUAUUGUGGCUAACUUACAGUUUCAGAGGUUGAGUCUAUUGUCACCAUGGCAGGAAGCGUGGCGGCAUGCUGACAGACAGUGGCGCCAGAAGAGCUGAGAGUGUUAUAUCUUGAUUCACAGAGAACAGAGAAAAACUGUGUCACACCAGGCUUAAUGUGAACAGAGAAGACCUCAAAACCCACCCCACAGUGACAUACGUCCAUCACCAAGGUGACACCUACUCCAACAAGGCCACACCUCCUUAUAGCGCCACUCCCUAUGGGCCAAGCCAUCUGAGUCUAUGGGAGCCAUAUCUAUUUAAACCACCAGGGACAUCAUUGAUGGAACUAGAGAUUUUCAGCUUAAUUAAAAUAAACCUGACACCGAAACACCAGAAUUACACAAUAAGCUGACUUCCUUCGCAAUGGAUUUGCUACUGACGGGUAUAAUGCUCGUCACACCUCUGAGACCUAGUCUGACGACUCUUCGACUCCAUCUUCGGAUUCUUGAAUUACCUUGAAUUAAAUGUGCUCAAAAUCG